GAUUUUGGGGCGUUUUGGGGGGAUUUGAGUGGAUUUUGGGGUGAUUUUGGGAGCUGUAGAGAAGGACCAGGUGUGCCCAGGUGUGCCCAGGUGUGCCCAGGUGUGCCCGGGGGAAGGAUUUUGGAAUUUGGGGCAUUUUUUGGGGAAUUUGGGGGA